rnacentral:lncRNA from 10 species
AUCACAUGCGGUCAUCGGGAGCUGGGAAGUGGAAGCUCCUGUAUUUACUCAGAUCUAGAACCGUCACUGUGCUGUGGGACUCAGCCUCUCCCACCAUGUUGGCUGCAUGGCACUGGUACACACCCUCAUCCUCCUUUCGCAGGGGGUUGAUCUAGAAAUACAACAGUUUUGGAGGUCAGAGGCCCAAAGGGGGCUAAGAUCAAGGUGCCGGCAGGGCUGCAUUCUUUCUGAAGGCUCUCAGGAGACUCAUUUUCUUGCCUUCUCCAGUUCCUAGUGGAUGCUGGCACUCCUUGGCUGUGGCCCUUUCCAACAUCAUCAAAGCCAGAAAUGGUGGGUCAAGUCCUCCUCACAUCGAAUCACUUCAGUCUGCCUCUGACUCUUCUGUUUCCCUCUUCCACACUUAAAGACCCACCUUUAAAUUGGCCCACCCGGAUAAUCCAGGCUAAUCUCCUUAUCUUAAAUCUCCUUAUCUCAGCUGUUUAGCAACCACAACCUCCCUCCCACCACCUUGCCAUGUAACAUCGUACGGUUCUGGGGGUGAGGACGUGGUGGACAUCACUGUGGGGCCAUCACUCUGCCCCUGGCAGCAGAACACGUAUGUUCCCAGCAGAUCUGAAACCUGCCCUGCCUGCCUCACAGUUACUGGAGGGGCCAGUGAGAAAUGGGUAAGAACAGCUUUGAAACAUGUAAUGUGUUGUAGAAAUAUAAAGGAUGGUUUAUAAUGGUCAGUCAAUAAUAUCCAAUAAUCCUAAACACUCACCAAAAUCCAGGCCGUGGCCUCAUGGUCAGAAGGGCCCCCUCGCACUUGGACAGCUAUAUUGACAUGGUCCCCAGGCAGCUCCUCCAGUGCUUGGGUGCCCUCAGGGGACUUCGUGACCUACAGGGGACAGGAAUGCCAGGAGGGGGCUUAGAAAAAGCAAUUCUGGAUAAAGACCAUCCCAUAGGCUUCCUUGCCCUCCUCCUUCCUCCUCCUCCCACUGACUCAAAAACGGAAACCCUAGCACUGCUCAUGCCUAUGCAAAUGACAUCAGUCAUUUUUUAAACCUACUUGUACAUAUAGACAGCACGCUCUGCCAGACAGCAAAGACCCGAACAUCACCACCAUCCCACAGAAAGAUUCAGAAUUUCAACGCCUGUCUCAGGGCUAUUGACAUUAAGGGGACAACAUUCGCUGUGAUCCUUGCCGGUCUCUCAAAAACUGGUCUUUAGAAGAUUUGGUUUUGGAAUAGGACUGAGUCUUCUGCCACCAGCCAGGUCUGUCUGAAACACAGCCCCGAAGUGAAGCAGGAUACACACACACAUGGCCACCGCAGCUGAAGCAGACUGGGUAAAAGCACAGCUUUCUGGGUCCCUAAG